UUGUCAGAAUUAUAAAGAUACCU
rnacentral:siRNA from 1 species